CCUACGGGAGGCAGCAGUGGGGAAUUUUCCACAAUGGGCGAAAGCCUGAUGGAGCAACGCCGCGUGUGUGAUGAAGGUCUUCGGAUCGUAAAGCACUUUCGACCGGGACGAAAAACCUCUGGCUAACAUCCAGGGGCCUGACGGUACCGGGAGAAGAAGCACCGGCUAAAUCUGUGCCAGCAGCCGCGGUAAU
rnacentral:rRNA from 1 species